rnacentral:rRNA from 1 species
UACGAGAGGUCCAAGCGUUAGUCGGAAUCACUGGGCUUAAAGGGUGCGUAGGCGGGCCCGUAAGUGUCUUGUGAAAGCCCCCUGCUCAACCGGGGAACCGCAGGGCAUACUGCGGGCCUCGAGGAAUCUAGAGGCCGGCGGAACGAUAGGUGGAGCGGUGGAAUGCGUAGAGAUCUAUCGGAACGCCAAAGGUGAAGACAGCCGGCUGGGGAUUUCCUGACGCUGAGGCACGAAAGCGUGGGGAGCAAACAGG